AUACGUAGGGAGCGAGCGUUGUCCGGAAUUACUGGGUGUAAAGGGAGCGUAGGCGGGAGUGCAAGUCAGAUGUGAAAUACAUGGGCUCAACCCAUGGGCUGCAUUUGAAACUGCAUUUCUUGAGUGAAGUAGAGGUAAGCGGAAUUCCUGGUGUAGCGGUGAAAUGCGUAGAUAUCAGGAGGAACACCGGUGGCGAAGGCGUCUUACUGGGCUUUUACUGACGCUGAGGCUCGAAAGCGUGGGGAGCAAACAGGAUUAGAUACCCUGGUAGUCCACGCUGUAAACGAUGAUUACUAGGUGUGGGGGGACUGACCCCUUCCGUGCCGCAGUUAACACAAUAAGUAAUCCACCUGGGGAGUACGGCCGCAAGGUUGAAACUCAAAUGAAUUGACGGGG
rnacentral:rRNA from 1 species